GAAAAAAAAACAGGCACACGAGACCAGCUCGGUCCGAUGCACUCGCCGCCGCCUCGAUUCCGGCCAUCGCCGGCCAUAUCCGCCUCCGCUGCUUGCCGGAGAGGCUCCGCCUUGGUCUCCUCCUCCGGUUCCCCUGCACCAGGACGGAUGCCCGCGUACGCACGCGCAACCGCGCGAAACCCUAGCUCCUGCUUCGGUCUCGGUCGCCGGCUUGGUUCCGGCGCCACCACGCCUUGGGCUGCACUCCCCUAUCCCCUGUGCCUCCUCUACGAUCUCCCGAGGUCCUGCUCUACUACAUCGACACCGACGGCCACCUCCUGGUUCCCCGCGUGACCGCGUCGACCUCGCCAUUCGGUGGCGAGGCAAGCGCAGCCUCAAGUGUGGCCGCUGAUGGUGCCUCUGCUGGUUUUUCCACGCAUACCUUGACUGGCAUCCGACGACGGGACCAAGAAGAGGAGACGAGAUGGUUAAGAAGUGCCCCGGCUGAAAGUGACGGAGGAGAGGAUGCCGGCGGCAGCAACAAGUUGAAUCAUCUUGGUCUGGCCCUGAUGCCCUGAUGGUGAUAUCCGGUGUCAGUCCACCCGCGGGGCUUCGAAUUGAAGCAACCAAGGUUAGAAGAGAUGGGAGAUGGGGCUCACGAACGAAGGUGGGGGCAGGCAGUGGUGGAGGUUAGAAAAGAUGGCAGAUGGGGGAAGGAAGUGAUGCAGGUUGGACAUGGCUGGUGUGCGGUGACAGUGGAGAAGAAUGGGGAGGAUUUUGUAAUCUUCAGAUUUGUAUGCCAAUGUUAGCCGCAGUCUUCAGAUUUUGUAGACAACGUGACAUUAAACAACUCAUGAUUUGAUCAAAGCUAUGUAUGCACAAGGGUUAGGAUAGAGUAGACAAAGCCACUAAGCUGUUAAACAAUUGUUGGUGGGAAUUUACCCCAAGUAAUCCCUGGUA